CGCGGCCUAUCAGCUUGUUGGUGGGGUUGUGGCCUACCAAGGCGACGACGGGUAGCCGGCCUGAGAGGGUGACCGGCCACACUGGGACUGAGACACGGCCCAGACUCCUACGGGAGGCAGCAGUGGGGAAUCUUGCGCAAUGGGCGAAAGCCUGACGCAGCGACGCCGCGUGGGGGAUGAAGGCCUUCGGGUUGUAAACCUCUUUCAGCAGGGAAGAAGCGAAAGUGACGGUACCUGCAGAAGAAGCACCGGCUAACUACGUGCCAGCAGCCGCGGUAAUACGUAGGGUGCAAGCGUUGUCCGGAAUUAUUGGGCGUAAAGAGCUCGUAGGUGGCGGGUCACGUCGGGUGUGAAAGCCCGGGGCUUAACCCCGGGUCUGCAUUCGAUACGGGCUUGCUAGGGUCCGGCAGGGGAGACUGGAAUUCCUGGUGUAGCGGUGAAAUGCGCAGAUAUCAGGAGGAACACCGGUGGCGAAGGCGGGUCUCUGGGCCGGUACCGACGCUGAGGAGCGAAAGCGUGGGGAGCGAACAGGAUUAGAUACCCUGGUAGUCCACGCCGUAAACGUUGGGCGCCAGGUGUGGGGAGCAUUCCACGUUCUCUGUGCCGUAGCUAACGCAUUAAGCGCCCCGCC
rnacentral:rRNA from 1 species